AGAGUUUGAUCCUGGCUCAGGACGAACGCUGGCGGCGCGCCUAACACAUGCAAGUCGAACGAGAGAGAGGGAGCUUGCUUCCUCGAUCGAGUGGCGAACGGGUGAGUAACGCGUGAGGAACCUGCCUCAAAGAGGGGGACAACAGUUGGAAACGACUGCUAAUACCGCAUAAGCCCACGGGUCGGCAUCGACCAGAGGGAAAAGGAGCAAUCCGCUUUGAGAUGGCCUCGCGUCCGAUUAGCUAGUUGGUGAGGUAAUGGCCCACCAAGGCGACGAUCGGUAGCCGGACUGAGAGGUUGAACGGCCACAUUGGGACUGAGACACGGCCCAGACUCCUACGGGAGGCAGCAGUGGGGAAUAUUGCACAAUGGGGGAAACCCUGAUGCAGCGACGCCGCGUGGAGGAAGAAGGUCUUCGGAUUGUAAACUCCUGUUGUUGAGGAAGAUAAUGACGGUACUCAACAAGGAAGUGACGGCUAACUACGUGCCAGCAGCCGCGGUAAAACGUAGGUCACAAGCGUUGUCCGGAAUUACUGGGUGUAAAGGGAGCGCAGGCGGGAGAACAAGUUGGAAGUGAAAUCCAUGGGCUCAACCCAUGAACUGCUUUCAAAACUGUUUUUCUUGAGUAGUGCAGAGGUAGGCGGAAUUCCCGGUGUAGCGGUGGAAUGCGUAGAUAUCGGGAGGAACACCAGUGGCGAAGGCGGCCUACUGGGCACCAACUGACGCUGAGGCUCGAAAGUGUGGGUAGCAAACAGGAUUAGAUACCCUGGUAGUCCACACCGUAAACGAUGAUUACUAGGUGUUGGAGGAUUGACCCCUUCAGUGCCGCAGUUAACACAAUAAGUAAUCCACCUGGGGAGUACGACCGCAAGGUUGAAACUCAAAGGAAUUGACGGGGGCCCGCACAAGCAGUGGAGUAU
rnacentral:rRNA from 1 species